rnacentral:pre_miRNA from 1 species
AACAUACUCCCUCCGUCCGGAAUUAUUGUCGGAGAAAUGGAUGUAUCUAGACAUAUUUUAGUUCUAGAUACAUCCAUCUUUGUCCAUUUCCUCAACAAGUAUUUCCAGAUGGAAGGUACAAA